GACGAACGCUGGCGGCGUGCCUGACACAUGCAAGUCGGACGGUCCGUGAUUGAUCAAGCUUGCUUGAUUGGUUGUGGAUAGUGGCGGACGGGUGAGUAACGCGUGAACACCUACCCAUUGGGAGGGGUACAACCCGUCGAAAGGCGGGCUAAUACCGCGUAAGCCGUGAGGUGAAAGGCUGCUUUUUGGUGGCUGCCGAUGGAUGGGUUCGCGUCCUAUCAGCUGGUUGGUGGGGUAACGGCCUACCAAGGCUAAGACGGGUAGCCGGUCUGAGAGGAUGGCCGGCCACACUGGAACUGAGACACGGUCCAGACUCCUACGGGAGGCAGCAGGUGGGGAAUAUUGGGCAAUGGGGGAGACCCUGACCCAGCGACGCCGCGUGAGGGAAGAAGGUUUUCGGAUCGUAAACCUCUGUUGUACGGGAAGAAGGAAUUGACGGUACCGUACGAGUAAGCCCCGGCAAACUACGUG
rnacentral:rRNA from 1 species